GGAUAGGUUAUAAGCGAAUGGCGGAUGCCUUGGGAUAUUAAAGUUAUGAAGGACGUGGCGUGCCUGCGAUAAGCAUCGGGGAGGUGGCUAGCAACCUUUGAUCCGGUGAUUUCCGAAUGGGGAAACCCAAUCGUGUUAAUAUGCGAUUACCGUGUCUCACUUUUGUUCGAUACGAAUUUCGAAUUUUUAAUUUCGAAUUUCGAUUAAAUUUUGAAUGACUUAAUUUCAAAACGUUUUAAAACAUGUUUCCAAAAUUCUAACAUUCUGAUUUUAUUCAAAAUUCAAAAUUCUGAUUUCAAAAUUUCGUGGUGAGCAGUAGCGAGACACGGAGCAUACCCGCUGAAGUGAAACAUCUCAGUAAGCGGAGGAACAGAAAACAAUGUGCCAUACCUCAGUGCGCUGAGGAUGGAAUGCUCAAUUAUCAAUAACCAAUUUUCAAUCAAUGCUAAAAUUACUAAAUUCUUAAAUAAAAAAAGGCGCCAAUGGAUUACAUCGGCGCUUGCUACUUCCGAAGAAGAUUCUUUGGCUUUUAAGCCUCGAGCUUAAUGGAAAGCCAGCUGUGUUCUACUCCGGGGUACCUUCCCUCCUGGAAAUAGAUUUCUUCCUUACCUUCCUUCUGAAGUCGCUGUUUCACAAUCUUCAAAAAGGCUCGGUCGUGUUCGUUUUCGGGAGUAAAUGUGAGAUUCACCCCGAAACCCGCAAAACUAAACCCAGUCUUCAUGUGUUUCUCCUGAAAGUGAAAGAAGGUUCUCUAUCACGAAGUUGCAAUAGAGGUAAGUAAGUUAGUUCAACUUAAAUAUUAGCAUACUAAAAUAAGUAUGUCAAUAGGUAAUUGAAAAUUAAAGAAUUUAGAAAUUGAUUAUAAAUUGUAAAUUGUAAAUUGAAAAUUCCACCCGAGCGUAGCGAGGUGUGGCACACAUUCCCUUAGUAGUGGCGAGCGAAAAGGGAACAGUCUAAACCAAACCGCAUCACAUUGUGUGUGAUGCGGAAAUCCUAAAUCCUAAACACUAAAUCCUAAAUAAAACCAAAUAAUUAAAAUCCAAAAAUUCAGAAUGUUUUUAAUUUGGAUAAUUUAAAUUUUUGAAUUUGUUUAGAGUUUAGAUAUUAGAGUUUAGAGUUUCCGACAUCGCGCUCAGCGCGAUGCGGUGUGGGGUUGUAAGGUUGUAGUGUCAAGAGCAUUAUUUAUACCUCGAAUAGUCGAGGAAUAAAUAAUGUUUGUUGAGAGAGAACACAUAGGUAAUUUAUUAAAAGAAGCACCCUGGAAAGGGGCACCAUAGAGGGUAAUAGUCCCGUAUUCUAAAAUAAUUUUACGCUCUUUGCUAUGAUUCUUAAGUACUGUCGGGAAUGAUAACCUGGCAGGAAGCAGGCCGAACUAUCGGCCAAGACUAAAUAUUUAAUAUCACCGAUAGUGAACCAGUACCGUGAGGGAAAGGUGAAAAGUAGGGGGUUGACCCCGGUGAAAUAGAACCUGAAACCAUUUGCUUACAAAGAGUAGGAGCGGCCACAUCACAUUGCAUGUGAUGUGAAUGACCAAUUCUCAAUGACCAAUUUUCAAUCAAUGCUAAAAUUACUAAAUUCUCAAAUAAAAAAGGCGCCUCAUCGAUAAAAUCGAUUUCGGCGCCAUAAAUCGUGGAUUCGGUGGUUACGCUCUGGCCAUUUCUUUUUCGAAAUGGUCUAGCUCAUUCUUGAAAAAUUCUGCUGUCACGAAUUGAGCCUCUAAGCUCUNNNNNNNNNNNNNNNNNNNNNNNNNNNNNNNNAUCACAAAUCGUUUUGAUUGCUUCCAAUCUUGUCAUCUUCUUCCCUCCCAAAAGAACGGUUAAGGUGUAAAGCCACGAUGAAAUUAUCCUAUUAUAUAUAUAUGAUUAUGUCAAUAAGUAUAAUUUGAAAUUAAAGAAUUUAGAAAUUGAUUGAAAAUUGUAAAUUGGAAAUUGAAAAUUCUCAUCGCGCGUAGUGCGAUGUGGCUGUGACUGCGUGCUUUUUGCAGAACGAGCCAACGAGUUUGAUUAUUCCGUCGCCUAAGCCCCUCCGGGGUGGAGGCAUAGCGAAAGCGAGUGUUAAAAGCGCGAAUGGGCACGCAACAGAGUAAUUUUUUGUAGCGAAACAACAAAAUUUUGUGAUAGAAAUUUUUAAAAAUGAUAAGGUUUAUCAAUGAAAUGAUAAGCCGCCGAGUUUUUGGAAAUUUAUAACCAAAAUUUUUAGUUGCAGUAGAAAAAAUUAUUCUGUUGCGUGCCCUAGAUGGAAUGUUCAAGACCCGAAGCGUGACGAGCUUACCAUGUGCAGGAUGAACCCGAGCGAAAGCAAGGGGGAGGUCCGAACCCGUGAGUCGUGCAAUCCUCUGGGAUGACAUGUGGUAAGGAGUGA
rfam:Candidatus Staskawiczbacteria bacterium RIFCSPHIGHO2_02_FTLL_34_10 rifcsphigho2_02_scaffold_26516, whole genome shotgun sequence.